GACCCCGUAGCUCAGCAGGAUAGAGCGGUCGCCUCCUAAGCGACAGGUCACAGGUUCAAAUCCUGUCGGGGUCGCCA
rnacentral:tRNA from 1 species